UCAAGUUUACACCAAAUCAGAUCCGGUGAAUUUAGGCAGUAAGUGAAUUUACGUUUAAGUAUGUGAAGACCAGUAAUACAUCAAAAAUUUUGGUAGGGAAAGAUCCCCAUUAGAGGUGAACUUUUGCAAUAGAGAGAGCCCUUCCACAGAAAAGAAGAAACCAUCUGGUCUGAGGACUUAAAUAACUGUUUGGACAGAAAUAGGGGAAUACUAUUUCCCCUGACAUAAAAAGAGAAACCUGGGUAGCACAUUCAUUUUGAUAACAUUAAUCCUGCCUAUUGGUGACAAAGGGAUAGCAGGGGGCUCUAAUUUUCAGAAAACUGUGAAGGCAAAGUACGUGUAGUAUUAAUUCCAAGCACUUAAACCCUGAGGGGCUGAGCUCGAAAGGAAUGUCAGAUGUCAGUCACCAUAGGAUGGACUAAAUUUGGUUUCUUUGCUCCUUUAUGUAAGACACUACUUUAUAAAUGCAGUGAUGUGAAAAAGAAAACAAUGUGAUUAUGGCAUCAUGUGAAACUUUUUUUUCACAUCCCUGAGUUAUACACUAUUAUAAAGUACUGUGACAGUUGGUAUUUUUUUCUGCAUUUUAGGAAGAACGUAUAACAUUUAAUGAAGAAACCUUUCUAAACCAUCGGUCGAGUGCCAUGAGACAGUUCCUUCAGAAUGCCAUUCAGCUGCAGUUCUUCAAACAGUUCAUUGACGGCCGCUUAGACCUGCUGAACUCAGGCGAAGGUUUUAGUGACAUCUUUGAGGAGGAGAUCAACAUGAGUGAAUAUGCAGGCAGUGACAAAACCUACCACCAGUGGUUGUUCACUGUAAAGGUAAGCACAUCUGAAUACUAAGAUUAGUUUCUUAACCAAGUUGUAUCCAUAAAAUCAAAGGGGUUAAGAGGGUAAUCCCUCAACCUGCACUGCACUCU